AUUGAACGCUGGCGGCACGCCUUACACAUGCAAGUCGAACGGCAGCACGGGUGCUUGCACCUGGUGGCGAGUGGCGAACGGGUGAGUAAUACAUCGGAACGUACCUUAUCGUGGGGGAUAACGCAGCGAAAGCUGUGCUAAUACCGCAUACGCCCUGAGGGGGAAAGCGGGGGAGCGCAAGACCUCGCGCGAUUAGAGCGGCCGAUGCCUGAUUAGCUUGUUGGUGGGGUAAAAGCCCACCAAGGCGACGAUCAGUAGCUGGUCUGAGAGGACGAUCAGCCACACUGGGACUGAGACACGGCCCAGACUCCUACGGGAGGCAGCAGUGGGGAAUUUUGGACAAUGGGGGCAACCCUGAUCCAGCAAUGCCGCGUGAGUGAAGAAGGCCUUCGGGUUGUAAAGCUCUUUUGUCAGGGAAGAAACACCGGCUCUAACACAGUCCGGGAAUGACGGUACCUGAAGAAUAAGCACCGGCUAACUACGUGCCAGCAGCCGCCGUAACAC
rnacentral:rRNA from 1 species